GUAGACUCUUCUUUGCGGUGAGUGGAGUGGUCUACUUGGCCUCCCCCUAUGCAGCUAGGGGCUUCUGCUCACUCUCUGCUGCUUGGCAGGUGAAGAGAGAAUGGCUCCUGGGCUGGGAAGGGGCACGAACUCUUUGGGCUUGUUCCAUAGUCCCUCCCCUAGCUGGUGGAUCAUCACACUGAGCCCAGAUUCUCCAAGUGCUAUCUUCUUCAGGUACUGUCCUCUGGGUCAGCAAGAUGGCUUUCUUCCCCCUCCCCAUCCCAUAUCAGUACCUUCAUGCGCUGUUCUAAGCUAGCAACAUAUCCAGCUAGUAAGAAUUAAGAGCCCACAAGAGGAGGUGGGAUGGAGGACAGGAGGACCCAGCUACAUGGAGAGUUGGGCCAUGCUGCUGUGUUGCACAAUACAAGGGGGCUACCAUUUAUAACACAUUCUAUAUAAAUGGUUUCCCCUGGAAUUGGGUAUCUUGGUGGCCCUGGGGUGGCCUUGAAAAUGUGGAGGAGUGAGAAGAUAGAGGAGAGGAGGAAACUUCUUCUUUUAAUAAUAUAAUUAUCCAAAUUUUUAUGGCUAGAAAAAGAUGUGUGUGUGUGUCUGUGUGUGUGUAUUGGGAAGUAGGGAGUUUGGGAUGGGGGAAUGUUCAAACCUUAAAUGCAUCUAUAAGAAAAAACUUUGCAGGAGAAGAGGUGGGAAAGAACCUACUCAGUCCUACUAUCAAGGCUUACAGAAAAGGAGAGAGAGGAGGAGACACGGUUUCCCACUCAAGGAGUCUCCACAUGAGGCACUCGCCUCGGGGUGCUGCUGACAACAGAGAAUGUAACAAGGUGCUGGGGCGCUCACCCGAGACGACUGAAGCCAUAGGAGAUAUGGAAUAGCCGUCUACGGUUACUUGAAGAACUUAUUCAAAUAACUCCAAAAGGCCAAAGUAAGAUCAACAGGUAAAAAUCGUAGGGUAACAAGCCUUCGUAGUCUAGAGGUUUAUCGUGAAGAUUUGAUCCUUGAAAUAUCUGAGUUACUUAAUGUCUUUUAGUCCUGAUUUCCUCCUCUGAAAAGUGAGACUAAUGAUAGUAACUCUUUCACAGGAAUAUCAUGAAAAGUUGAAAUAUGCAUGCAAAGUGCAUAGCCCUGUGCCUGACACAUGGAAACCACUUAAAGUGUUAGUAUAUUUCUUUUACUUUAUAAUGGCUUACGCUUGGGCUGCCUAAGAGUGAAAUAGAUUGCUUUCCAAGGGAGACAGCGUGCUUCCUCCUAUAGGUAAUUUCUAAGUGUCUACAGAGGUGGUGUGGAAGGGAUUCCAUCGCUGGGUUGGGGAUCGGAGCUGAUGGUCUCCAAGGUCUCCACCAUCGAAUGAUUCCGUCAUUCUACAUAUCCACUUACCGUUGUCAACAGUGAAAAGUCUCGGUGUUCUCUAAUUCAGGGAUUCAAAAGCCAGUGGGACCACAGUCUCAUUCAAAGUGUGACUUCUCCUGGAGUACUGUCACACCAAUUCAAUUUAAGAGAUUUGUAGGUAGACACUUUUUGUCUUUGCCUGCAGUCUCCCUUCUUCCACUUUCAUUUUAAGGAACCACCUCACCUUAUGCUCCAUCUCAGUUCAUAUGGUUUGAGUGGGUCUGAUCCAAGACCUAGAGGCUGGCACAAGGCCCAGGGUUGGCCAGUGUGUUCGCCUCCCUGGUCAUGGUGAUUUGUUCAGGAACAUGGAUGUGACCCAAAUCAGUCCAAAAACAGCUUCAAGAUAAUGCUGAAGCUACUGUGAGAGAGAUGGUUGCCUUCCCUUGAGGUUGCUAAUCUUAACCUAGAGCUCUUGGUGGCAUUAUUUGAGAAAGAAGUCGAGAGAGAGAAAAGCGAAUUUGAGCGAUGGAGAGAAACAAAGUCCUU
rnacentral:lncRNA from 1 species